ACCAAAUGCUUCCAAAUGUCAAUUUAUAUUAAGCUCGCCCCAUUCCUCUGUCAUUUGUCGCAAUGCUUUUCAUCGAGUGCUUGCGCCGCGCGACAAAUGACAGAGGAAUGGGGCGGGCUUAAUAUAAAGUGACAUUUGGAAGCAUUCU
rnacentral:miRNA from 1 species